GGGGAAUAUUGCACAAUGGGCGAAAGCCUGAUGCAGCAACGCCGCGUGAGCGAUGAAGGCCUUCGGGUCGUAAAGCUCUGUCCUUGGGGAAGAAAAAAAUGACGGUACCCUUGGAGGAAGCCCCGGCUAACUACGUGCCAGCAGCCGCGGUAAUACGUAGGGGGCGAGCGUUAUCCGGAAUUAUUGGGCGUAAAGAGUGCGUAGGUGGUUACCUAAGCGCAGGGUUUAAGGCAAUGGCUCAACCAUUGUUCGCCUUGCGAACUGGGCUACUUGAGUGCAGGAGAGGAAAGUGGAAUUCCUAGUGUAGCGGUGAAAUGCGUAGAUAUUAGGAGGAACACCAGUGGCGAAGGCGACUUUCUGGACUGUUACUGACACUGAGGCACGAAAGCGUGGGGAGCAAAC
rnacentral:rRNA from 1 species